UCCAGACUCCUACGGGAGGCAGCAGUGGGGAAUAUUGCACAAUGGGGGGAACCUUGAUGCAGCAACGCCGCGUGGGUGAAGAAGUACUCCGGUAUGUAAAGCCCUGUCAGCAGGGAAGAAAAUGACGGUACCUGAGUAAGAAGCCCCGGCUAACUACGUGCCAGCAGCCGCGGUAAUACGUAGGGGGCAAGCGUUAUCCGGAUUUACUGGGUGUAAAGGGGGCGCAGACGGCGAUGCAAGCCAGGAGUGAAAGCCCGGGGCCCAACCCCGGGACUGCUCUUGGAACUGCGUGGCUGGAGUGCAGGAGGGGCAGGCGGAAUUCCUGGUGUAGCGGUGAAAUGCGUAGAUAUCAGGAGGAACACCGGUGGCGAAGGCGGCCUGCUGGACUGCAACUGACGUUGAGGCCCGAAAGCGUGGGGAGCAAACAGGAUUAGAUACCCGCGUA
rnacentral:rRNA from 1 species